GACGAACGCUGGCGGCGUGCUUAACACAUGCCAGUCGAACGGAAAGGCCCUGCUUGCAGGGUACUCGAGUGGCGAACGGGUGAGUAACACGUGGGUGAUCUGCCCUGCACUUCGGGAUAAGCCUGGGAAACUGGGUCUAAUACCGGAUAGGAGCCAUUUUUAGUGUGAUGGUUGGAAAGUUUUUUCGGUGUAGGAUGAGCUCGCGGCCUAUCAGCUUGUUGGUGGGGUAAUGGCCUACCAAGGCGGCGACGGGUAGCCGGCCUGAGAGGGUGGACGGCCGCAUUGGGACUGAGAUACGGCCCAGACUCCUACGGGAGGCAGCAGUGGGGAAUAUUGCACAAUGGGCGCAAGCCAGAUGCAGCGACGCCGCGUGGGGGAUGACGGCCUUCGGGUUGUAAACUCCUUUCGCUAGGGACGAAGCUUUUUGUGACGGUACCUAGAUAAGAAGCACCGGCUAACUACGUG
rnacentral:rRNA from 1 species